rnacentral:rRNA from 1 species
UACGAACCGUCCGAACGUUAUUCGGAAUCACUGGGCUUAAAGGGUGCGUAGGCGGCUCGGAAAGUUGGGUGUGAAAUCCCUCGGCUUAACCGAGGAACGGCGCCCAAAACUACCGUGCUCGAGGGAGAUAGAGGUGAGCGGAACUUAGGGUGGAGCGGUGAAAUGCGUUGAUAUCCUAAGGAACACCGGUGGCGAAAGCGGCUCACUGGAUCUCUUCUGACGCUGAUGCACGAAAGCUAGGGUAGCGAACGGG